rnacentral:rRNA from 1 species
GGACUACCCGGGUAUCUAAUCCCGUUUGCUCCCCUAGCUUUCGCGCCUCAGCGUCAAGAACAGGCCAGGAAGUCGCCUUCGCCACUGGUGUUCCUCCCGAUAUCUACGCAUUUCACCACUACACCGGGAAUUCCACUUCCCUCUCCUGCCUUCGAGUCGAUCAGUAUCGAGUGACCCUCCCCAGUUGAGCCGGGGGCUUUCACACUCGACUUGAACGACCGCCUGCGCGCUCUUUACGCCCAGUAAAUCCGGACAACGCUUGUCACCUACGUAUUACCGCGGCUGCUGGCAC